AGGGAUGUAGCUCGGCGGUAGGGCACUUGCCUAGCAUGCAGGAGACCCUAGGUUCAGGCCCUAGCACAGUUA
rnacentral:tRNA from 1 species